rnacentral:ribozyme from 1 species
AUCCAACAAAGAAGAAAGAACCAAGUCGAAAGAAAGAAAAGAAAAAGAAAAGAAGAAUUGCUGCGCGGCGAUGUAGAAGUUGAAGUCGACUGAAAAAUGUCUUGGACGAAUUCAGAUCUUAUUUCUUCUCUUCUUC